GCAGAUCGCAUGAUGCAGCUUUUGAAAGGCGGCGUAAGCUGUCGCUAAGGGAUGGCCCCGCGGUGCAUUAGCUAGUUGGUAAGGUAACGGCUUACCAAGGCGACGAUGCAUAGCCGAGUUGAGAGACUGAUCGGCCACAUUGGGACUGAGACACGGCCCAAACUCCUACGGGAGGCAGCAGUAGGGAAUCUUCCACAAUGGACGCAAGUCUGAUGGAGCAACGCCGCGUGAGCGAAGAAGGUUUUCGGAUCGUAAAGCUCUGUUGUUGGUGAAGAAGGAUAGAGGUAGUAACUGGCCUUUAUUUGACGGUAAUCAACCAGAAAGUCACGGCUAACUACGUGCCAGCAGCCGCGGUAAUACGUAGGUGGCAAGCGUUGUCCGGAUUUAUUGGGCGUAAAGCGAGCGCAGGCGGAAAAAUAAGUCUAAUGUGAAAGCCCUCGGCUUAACCGAGGAACUGCAUCGGAAACUGUUUUUCUUGAGUGCAGAAGAGGAGAGUGGAACUCCAUGUGUAGCGGUGGAAUGCGUAGAUAUAUGGAAGAACACCAGUGGCGAAGGCGGCUCUCUGGUCUGCAACUGACGCUGAGGCUCGAAAGCAUGGGUAGCGAACAGGAUUAGAUACCCUGGUAGUCCAUGCCGUAAACGAUGAGUGCUAAGUG
rnacentral:rRNA from 1 species